UCCCCUUCAGUGCAGACACCAAGACAGGAUGGACAAUACAGAGGAUUUUACUAGGGGAAACAUCUGUGAGAUAAAAAUGGGGAGGGAGCUGGUAGAGGCUAGAAGAGAGGAAAGGCUGGGAGAGCCAUCACACCUUGAUGCAAGUCUGACCUAAGUGCAGGAGGGAGGGAAGCAAGUUUGGGUGGAAGCUCCUAGACUGCCUAUAGCAAGGCCAUCAGAGAGUCCUCAAGCCAAAGUCACCUAUCAGAGAAGUUCCCUGUUUCU
rnacentral:misc_RNA from 1 species